UCAGUCCGCCGCUAUUAAGAUCUUGCAACAAAAACUUUCUGGCGUUUCUUUCCCUGCUGAAAUGGUUCAAGUGCUGUUUACAUCUGUGUACUAUCUGUUGAUGUUGAUGCUAUUGAUUCUCGGCGUUAUGGCUUUUCUUGUACGACUUUACUCGUACGGAACAACCCGAAAUCUUGAACCGGACAGAAGGACACUACCAAAACAAGAAAAAUCGUGUUCAAAUUGAAACGAGUUUCUUAAACUUCUCUGGUUUGUCUUCUCUCUUGGGCUUCUGCUAGCUCUCAAAGACACAUCUGAAAACAUUCCAAUCGAAGACGAAGUUGCCCAGAAGCAAAGUGUCCCUGAGAUUAAUUCAGAACUGCAUGACAAGAAAGACCUAAACGCUUGUCUCGUUCCUUUGGCGGAGAGGAGCAGUGAAACAAAGGCCGGACCUGGUAUUCCUGAGCGGCAACCUCCCUCAAGGCCAAAAGUGGCAACUCAGGCAGUUAUCUCACCGCUAACGCUGUUUUUGCUGGGAACUGAUACCGUCCACACCUAUGACCCCGUAUACGAGAAAAAGUUGCAGGGAAAACGUAAACGGUGGUUCAACAAGGCCUUAAAAAUGGGCAGAAGGCCGUAUGUAUGUUUUAAAUAAAGAAAAAAAAAUGUAUGUACAUACUUUGUAUCGGAUUUUCACCCAUGUAUUUCCUCGCUGCAUGCAUUUUGUCAUCCACUCUUGAUU